rnacentral:rRNA from 1 species
AUGAGCCCGCGUUGGAUUAGCUAGUUGGUGGGGUAAAGGCCUACCAAGGCGACGAUCCAUAGCUGGUCUGAGAGGGUGAUCGGCCACACUGGGACUGAGACACGGCCCAGACUCCUACGGGAGGCAGCAGUAGGGAAUCUUCCGCAAUGGACGAAAGUCUGACGGAGCAACGCCGCGUGAGUGAUGAAGGGUUUCGGCUCGUAAAGCUCUGUUGUUAGGGAAGAACAAGUAUCGUUCGAAUAGGGCGGUACCUUGACGGUACCUGACCAGAAAGCCACGGCUAACUACGUGCCAGCAGCCGCGGUAAUACGUAGGUGGCAAGCGUUGUCCGGAAUUAUUGGGCGUAAAGCGCGCGCAGGCGGUUUCUUAAGUCUGAUGUGAAAGCCCCCGGCUCAACCGGGGAGGGUCAUUGGAAACUGGGAGACUUGAGUGCAGAAGAGGAGAGUGGAAUUCCACGUGUAGCGGUGAAAUGCGUAGAUAUGUGGAGGAACACCAGUGGCGAAGGCGACUCUCUGGUCUGUAACUGACGCUGANGCGCGAAAGCGUGGGGGAGCAAACAGGAUUAGAUACCCUGGUAGUCCACGCCGUAAACGAUGAGUGCUAGGUGUUAGGGGUUUCGAUGCCCUUAGUGCCGAAGUUAACACAUUAAGCACUCCGNCUGGGGAGUACGACCGCAAGGNUGAAACUCNAAGGAAUUGACGGGGNNCCGCACAAGCAGCGGNNCAUGUGGUUUANNUCNAAGCAACGCGAANAACC